AGUCAAGUAAUUAAGUGCAUGUGGUGGAUGCCUUGGCAGUCAGAGGCGAUGAAAGACGUGAUAGCCUGCGAAAAGCUCCGGGGAGGCGGCAAAUAUCCUUUGAUCCGGAGAUGUCUGAAUGGGGGAACCCACCUACUUUAAGGUAGGUAUUGCAACAUGAAUACAUAGUGUUGCAAGGCGAACGAGGGGAAGUGAAACAUCUCAGUACCCUUAGGAAAAGAAAUCAAUUGAGAUUCCCUCAGUAGCGGCGAGCGAACGGGGAUCAGCCCAUUAAGUUAUGUGUGUUUUAGUGGAACGCUCUGGGAAGUGCGAACGUAGAGGGUGAUAUUCCCGUACACGAAAGGGCACACAUAAUAGAUGACGAGUAGGGCGAGGCACGUGAAACCUUGUCUGAAUAUGGGGGGACCAUCCUCCAAGGCUAAAUACUCCUGACUGACCGAUAGUGAACCAGUACCGUGAGGGAAAGGCGAAAAGAACCCCUGUGAGGGGAGUGAAAUAGAUCCUGAAACCGCAUGCAUACAAGCAGUGGGAGCACCUUCGUGGUGUGACUGCGUACCUUUUGUAUAAUGGGUCAGCGACUUAUAUUCAGUAGCGAGGUUAACCGUAUAGGGGAGCCGUAGAGAAAUCGAGUCUUAAUAGGGCGUUUAGUUGCUGGGUAUAGACCCGAAACCAGGCGAUCUAUCCAUGAGCAGGUUGAAGGUUGGGUAACACUAACUGGAGGACCGAACCCACUGUCGUUGAAAAGCCAGGGGAUGACUUGUGGAUAGGGGUGAAAGGCUAAUCAAGCCUGGUGAUAGCUGGUUCUCCCCGAAAGCUAUUUAGGUAGCGCCUCGGACGAAUACCAUAGGGGGUAGAGCACUGUUUCGGCUAGGGGGUCAUCCCGACUUACCAAACCGAUGCAAACUCCGAAUACCUAUGAGUACGAUCCGGGAGACAGACUGCGGGUGCUAACGUCCGUAGUCAAGAGGAAAACAAUCCAGACCGCCAGCUAAGGCCCCAAAAUCAUAGUUAAGUGGGAAACGAUGUGGGAAGGCAUAGACAGCUAGGAGGUUGGCUUAGAAGCAGCCACCCUUUAAAGAAAGCGUAAUAGCUCACUAGUCGAGUCGGCCUGCGCGGAAGAUGUAACGGGGCUAAAACUAUGUGCCGAAGCUGCGGAUUUGACAUUAGUCAAGUGGUAGGGGAGCGUUCUGUAAGCCGAUGAAGGUGUGUUGAGAAGCAUGCUGGAGGUAUCAGAAGUGCGAAUGCUGACGUGAGUAACGACAAAACGGGUGAAAAACCCGUUCGCCGAAAGACCAAGGGUUCCAGUCCAACGUUAAUCGGGGCUGGGUGAGUCGACCCCUAAGGCGAGGCCGAAAGGCGUAGUCGAUGGGAAAAUGGUUAAUAUUCCAUUACUUCUGUGUAAUGCGAUGAGAGGACGGAGAAGGCUAAAUCAGCCUGGCGUUGGUUGUCCAGGUGAAAGGAUGUAGGCAUGUAUCUUAGGCAAAUCCGGGGUACUCUAUGCUGAGAUCUGAUAGCAAGCUGUACUUGUACAGCGAAGUGGUUGAUGCCAUGCUUCCAGGAAAAGUCUCUAAGCUUCAGUUACACAGGAAUCGUACCCGAAACCGACACAGGUGGUCAGGUCGAGUAGACCAAGGCGCUUGAGAGAACUCUGCUGAAGGAACUAGGCAAAAUGGUACCGUAACUUCGGGAGAAGGUACGCUGUUGUUGGUGAUGGAACUCGCUUCCUGAGCUGACGACAGCCGCAGAAACCAGGCCGCUGCAACUGUUUAUUAAAAACAUAGCACUCUGCAAACACGAAAGUGGACGUAUAGGGUGUGAUGCCUGCCCGGUGCUGGAAGGUUAAUUGAUGGGGUUAGCGUAAGCGAAGCUCUUGAUCGAAGCCCCAGUAAACGGCGGCCGUAACUAUAACGGUCCUAAGGUAGCGAAAUUCCUUGUCGGGUAAGUUCCGACCUGCACGAAUGGCAUAAUGAUGGCGGCGCUGUCUCCAGCAGAGGCUCAGUGAAAUCGAAAUCGCUGUGAAGAUGCAGUGUACCCGCGGCUAGACGGAAAGACCCCGUGAACCUUUACUGCAGCUUGACACUGAACUUUGACCUUACUUGUGUAGGAUAGGUGGGAGGCUUUGAAGCUGGAACGCUAGUUCCAGUGGAGCCGUCCUUGAAAUACCACCCUGGUAAUGUUGAGGUUCUAACUCUGUCCCGUGAUCCGGGACGAGGACCGUGUCUGGUGGGUAGUUUGACUGGGGCGGUCUCCUCCUAAAGAGUAACGGAGGAGUACGAAGGUGCGCUCAGCGUGGUCGGAAAUCACGCGUAGAGUAUAAAGGCAAAAGCGCGCUUAACUGCGAGACCCACAAGUCGAGCAGGUACGAAAGUAGGUCUUAGUGAUCCGGUGGUUCUGUAUGGAAGGGCCAUCGCUCAACGGAUAAAAGGUACUCUGGGGAUAACAGGCUGAUACCGCCCAAGAGUUCAUAUCGACGGCGGUGUUUGGCACCUCGAUGUCGGCUCAUCUCAUCCUGGGGCUGAAGCAGGUCCCAAGGGUAUGGCUGUUCGCCAUUUAAAGAGGUACGCGAGCUGGGUUUAGAACGUCGUGAGACAGUUCGGUCCCUAUCUACCGUGGGCGCUGGAAAUUUGAGAGGAUCUGCUCCUAGUACGAGAGGACCAGAGUGGACGAACCUCUGGUGUACCGGUUGUGACGCCAGUCGCAUCGCCGGGUAGCUAUGUUCGGAAGGGAUAACCGCUGAAAGCAUCUAAGCGGGAAGCCUACCUCAAGAUAAGAUUUCCCUAGGACUUUAUGUCCUCUAAAGAGCCGUUCGAGACUAGGACGUUGAUAGGUUGGAUGUGGAAGCAUAGUGAUAUGUGAAGCUGACCAAUACUAAUUGCUCGUGAGGCUUGACUAUACAACACCC
rnacentral:rRNA from 1 species